ACUGCGGUUCUGAGCGCGCCGUGCGCGCCCACCUGACAGCUGCUCGCGACGUUCUGUUCGCC
rnacentral:sRNA from 1 species